AAUAGGUUGACAGAAUAAUGUGAAUAAUUUAGGUUUAUUUUAUAGAUUAAAUAUCUACCUAUUA
rnacentral:tRNA from 1 species